CCUACGGGAGGCAGCAGUGAGGAAUAUUGUGCAAUGGGCGAAAGCCUGACACAGCCAUGCCGCGUGUGUGAAGAAGGCCCUAGGGUUGUAAAGCACUUUCAGUAGCAAAGAACUAACCGGGUUAAUACCCCGGCGAAAUGACAUUAGCUACAGAAGAAGUACCGGCUAACUCCGUGCCAGCAGCCGCGGUAAUACGGAGGGUACGAACGUUAAUCGGAAUUACUGGGCGUAAAGCGCGCGUAGGUGGUUUGUUAAGUGGGAUGUGAAAGCCCUAGGCUCAACCUAGGAACUGCAUUCCAAACUGACAAACUAGAGUACGAUAGAGGGGGGUAGAAUUCAGAGUGUAGCGGUGAAAUGCGUAGAUAUUCUGAGGAAUACCAGUGGCGAAGGCGGCCCCCUGGAUUGAUACUGACACUGAGGUGCGAAAGCGUGGGGAGCAA
rnacentral:rRNA from 1 species